rnacentral:rRNA from 1 species
UACGAAGGGGGCUAGCGUUGCUCGGAAUCACUGGGCGUAAAGCGCACGUAGGCGGACUUGUCAGUCAGGGGUGAAAUCCCGGGGCUCAACCUCGGAACUGCCUCUGAUACAGCAAGUCUUGAGUCCGGAAGAGGUGGGUGGAAUUCCUAGUGUAGAGGUGAAAUUCGUAGAUAUUAGGAAGAACACCGGUGGCGAAGGCGGCUUUCUGGACAGGUACUGACGCUGAGACGCGAAAGCGUGGGGAGCAAACAGG